rnacentral:rRNA from 1 species
UACGUAGGGUGCGAGCGUUAAUCGGAAUUACUGGGCGUAAAGCGUGCGCAGGCGGUUUUGUAAGCCAGAUGUGAAAUCCCCGGGCUUAACCUGGGAAUGGCAUUUGGGACUGCAAGGCUUGAGUGCGGCAGAGGAGACUGGAAUUCCUGGUGUAGCAGUGAAAUGCGUAGAUAUCAGGAGGAACACCGAUGGCGAAGGCAGGUCUCUGGGCUGACACUGACGCUCAUGCACGAAAGCGUGGAGAGCAAACAGG